rnacentral:rRNA from 1 species
UAGUCCACGCAGUAAACGAUGAGUGCUAGUUGUCGGGAUUUUUCUCGGUGGCGAAGCUAACGCGUUAAGCACUCCGCCUGGGGAGUACGGCCGCAAGGCUAAAACUCAAAGGAAUUGACGGGGACCCGCACAAGUAGUGGAGCAUGUGGUUUAAUUCGAUGAUACGCGAGAAACCUUACCAGCUCUUGAAUCCUGAUUACGAUUUCCAGAGAUGAUUUCCUUCGGUUCGGCCGGACGAUGUACAGGUGCUGCACGGCUGUCGUCAGCUCGUGUCGUGAGAUGUUUGGUUAAGUCCAGCAACGAGCGCAACCCCUAUCGUAUGUUACCAGCAUUUAGUUGGGGACUCAUGCGAGACUGCCGGUGUUAAGCCGGAGGAAGGUGGGGACGACGUCAAGUCAUCAUGGCCCUUACGUGUAGGGCUACAAACGUGCUACAAUGGAUAUUACAGUGGGCAGCGACAUCGCGAGGUGAAGCUAAUCCCUAAAAGUAUUCUCAGUUCGGAUAGGACU